GAUGAACGCUGGCGGCGUGCUUAACACAUGCAAGUCGAACGGGACUUGUUAAGUUGAAACUUCGGUCGAUUCUUUUCAAGUCUAGUGGCGGACGGGUGAGUAACGCGUGGGUAACCUGCCUCACACAGGGGGACAACAGUUGGAAACGACUGCUAAUACCGCAUAAGCGCACAGGAUCGCAUGAUCCAGUGUGAAAAACUCCGGUGGUGUGAGAUGGACCCGCGUCUGAUUAGGUAGUUGGUGAGGUAACGGCCCACCAAGCCGACGAUCAGUAGCCGACCUGAGAGGGUGACCGGCCACAUUGGGACUGAGACACGGCCCAA
rnacentral:rRNA from 1 species